GGCUGUCGUCAGCUCGUGUCGUGAGAUGUUCGGUUAAGUCCCGCGACGAGCGCAACCCCUAUCUCUAGUUGCCAGCGAUUCGGUCGGGGACUCUAGAGAUACUGCCCCGGUUAACGGGAGGAAGGUGGGAUGACGUCAAGUCCUCAUGGCCCUUAUGCCCAGGGCUACACACGUGCUACAAUGGGCGGGUACAAAGGGUAGCGAUGCCGCGAGGUGAAGCCAAUCCCAAAAAGCCGUCCACAGUUCGGAUUGGAGUCUGCAACUCGACUCCAUGAAGCCGGAAUCGCUAGUAAUCGUGGAUCAGCAUGCCACGGUGAAUACGUUCCCGGGCCUU
rnacentral:rRNA from 1 species